rnacentral:misc_RNA from 1 species
UGAAAGAGCUGUUGAUGAUGGAGUUAACAACUAUAAGGCAAUGUGCAGGGAUAGUCGUAUAAUUCCUGGAGCUGCAGCUACUGAAAUUGAGUUGGCUAGAAGACUGAAGGAAUUCUCUUUCAAGGAGACAGGAUUGGACCAAUACGCUAUUGCAAAAUUUGCUGAGAGCUUUGAGAUGGUACCUAAAACACUGGCUGAGAAUGCUGGUCUUAAUGCUAUGGAGAUCAUAUCAUCUCUCUAUGCUGAACAUGCAUCUGGAAACACCAAAGUGGGUAUUGACUUGGAUGAAGGGGUUUGUAAGGAUAUGUCAAACAUGAAUAUCUGGGACCUUUAUGUCACAAAAUUUUUUGCGCUCAAAUAUGCCGCAGAUGCUGCCUGCACUGUAUUGCGAGUAGACCAGAUUAUAAUGGCAAAACCAGCUGGUGGUCCAAAGAGAGACCCACCUGCAGGGAUGGAUGAAGACUAGUUUUGUGCAGGGCCGCAACACUUGGUCUUGCUGGUAUCUUUUUGGGCAGAAUCUUUUACUUUCUAUGGUGUCUUUUUUUGCAAUUUUGUUUACUGUUAAAGAAAUGAUAAGAACAUUGCUCUGUAUAUGCUACUCCCAGUCCAACUUCAUCUGAUGAUUGGUUGUGAUGAUAGUCUGGAAGUUCUCAUAUUGGACUCCAAUUUCAACAGAAAAAUUUGUUAGAUUGGGUGCUUCAAGCCAUUUUUGGUGCUGAAUUCACUGAAUUUUUACUUUUUAGUGUUUCACUGUUCACUUAUGGGUGAUUUAAUGGAUUGUACUGGCGCUGUGAUUCUAGUUUAGAGAUAUGUUUAAUGCCAGUGCUUGUAUUUGUGUGGUGGCUUCAAAUUGAGAUUCAUUAAAUCACCCA